GCCGACGUAGCCCAACGGCAGAGGCACGACGUUUAGGUCGUCGUCAGUGAGAGUUCGAAUCUCUCCGUCGGCACGA
rnacentral:tRNA from 1 species